rnacentral:misc_RNA from 1 species
GAUGAAGAACGUAGCGAAAUGCGAUAAGUAAUGUGAAUUGCAGAAUUCAGUGAAUCAUCGAAUCUUUGAACGCACCUUGCGCUCUUUGGUAUUCCGAAGAGCAUGCCUGUUUGAGUGUCAUGAAAAUAUCAACCUUGACUUGGGUUUUGUGCUCUAGUCUCGGCUUGGAAUUGGGUGCUUGCCGCUUUUACGAGCGGCUCACCUUAAAUGUAUUAGCUGGAUCUGUCUUUGAGACUUGGUUUGACUUGGCGUAAUAAGUAUUUCGCUAAGGACAUUCUUCGGAGUGGCCUCGUUUCUAGGACGCUUGUCCGCUUUCCAAUACGAGUUCCACCUCGUGGACAUGACUUUUUAUUAUCUGGCCUCAAAUCAGGAAGGACUACCCGCUGAACUUAAGCAUAUCAAUAAGCGGAGGA